CAUUAGUUGCUACAUUCAGUUGGGCGACUCUAAUGAGACUGCCGGUGACAAACCGGAGGAAGGUGGGGAUGACGUCAAGUCCUCAUGGCCCUUAUAGGUGGGGCUACACACGUCAUACAAUGGCCGGUACAAAGGGUCGCAAACCCGCGAGGGGGGAGCCAAUCCAUCAAAGCCGGUCGUAGUCCGGAUCGCAGUCUGCAACUCGACUGCGUGAAGUCGGAAUCGCUAGUAAUCGUGGAUCAGCAUGUCACGGUGAAUACGUUCCCGGGUCUU
rnacentral:rRNA from 1 species